rnacentral:tRNA from 1 species
AAUUAUAUAGUCUAAGUAAGGAUCUUAAAUUGCAAAUUUAAGGGUAAAUAAAAUUUUAUAAUUU